CAAUGUGUUACUGUAAUUUUAAUUUAAAAAUGACCGAGUGACAUUUUUACAACGCACUGGUCAACUCCACCAAAGCGAAUCACAUGACUUUGCCAUAGUCGGUAAGUACCAGCGAAAAAUAUCUUAUAAAUAAGUUAAGAAUUGUUGUAUAAAAAUUAAAUACACGGGAAAUGGCAAAGUUCAGGAAGUCUGGUCUGAUUAAUCAUU
rnacentral:lncRNA from 1 species